rnacentral:rRNA from 1 species
CCUACGGGAGGCAGCAGUGGGGAAUAUUUCACAAUGGGGGAAACCCUGAUGCAGCGACACCGCGUGAGUGCAGAAGUAUUUCGGUAUGUCAAGCUCUAUCAUCAGGUAAGAAGCAAGACGGUACCUGACUAAUAAGCCCCGGCUAACUACGUACCAGCCGCCUCGGUAAUACGUCGGGGUCACGCGUUAUCCGGAUUUACUGGGUGUAAAGGGAGCGUAGACGGUAUGGCAAGUCUGAAGUGAAAGCCCAGGGCUUAACCCUUGGACUGCUUUGGAAACUGUUAGACUAGAGUGCUGGAGAGGUAAGUGGAAUGCCUAGUGUAGCGGUGAAAUGCGUAGAUAGUAGGAGGAACACCAGGGGCGAAGGCGGCUUACUGGACAGUAACUGACGUUGAGGCUCGAAAGCGUGGGGAGCAAACAGGAUUAGAUACCCUUGUAGUC